UGGAAGUAAAAGUCGUAACAAGGUUUCCGUAGGUGAACCUGCGGAAGGAUCAUUUACGAAUAUAAUUCGGAGGGGUUGUAGCUGGCUUCGGAAACGAGGCAUGUGCACGCUCUUCUGUUUUUCACAACUCACCCGUGCACCUAAUGUAGGAUGCUCCUCUUUCGGGAGGGGGGACCUAUGUCUUCAUAUACCUCUUCGUGUAGAAAGUCUUAGAAUGUUUUACUAUCGGAGAGUCGCGACUUCUAGGAGACGCGAAUCUCUGAGAUAAAAGUUAAUUACAACUUUCAGCAAUGGAUCUCUUGGCUCUCGCAUCGAUGAAGAACGCAGCGAAAAGCGAUAUGUAAUGUGAAUUGCAGAUCUACAGUGAAUCAUCGAAUCUUUGAACGCACCUUGCGCUCCUCGGUGUUCCGAGGAGCAUGCCUGUUUGAGUGUCAGUAAAUUCUCAACCCCUCUCGAUUUGUUUCGAGGGGGAGCUUGGAUGGUGGGGGCUGCCGGAGACUAGGACUCGUCCUGGACUCGGGCUCUCCUUAAAUGCAUCGGCUUGCGGUCGACUUUCGACUUUGCGCGACAAGGCUUUCGGCGUGAUAAUGAUCGCCGUUUGCUGAAGCGCAUGAAUGAAGGUUCCGUGCCUCUAAUGCGUCGACUUACUAUCUCUUCGGAGAGAAAACGUCUUCCUUAUUGACUUUUGACCUCAAAUCAGGUAGGACUACCCGCUGAACUUAAGCAUAUCAAUAAGCGGAGGAA
rnacentral:rRNA from 1 species